CAGGCCUAACACAUGCAAGUCGAGGGGUAACGAUGUCUUCGGACAGUCGACGACCGGCGCACGGGUGAGUAUCGCGUUUGUAACCUACCUUUAACUGGAGAAUAGCCCGAAGAAAUUCGGAUUAAUACUCCAUAACACUAUGAUCUGGCAUCUUAUUAUAGUUAAAGCUCCGGCGGUUAAAGAUGGGCAUGCGUAACAUUAGAUAGUUGGUGAGGUAACGGCUCACCAAGUCUACGAUGUUUAGGGGGUCUGAGAGGAUGGUCCCCCACACUGGUACUGAGACACGGACCAGACUCCUACGGGAGGCAGCAGUGAGGAAUAUUGGUCAAUGGGCGCAAGCCUGAACCAGCCAUGCCGCGUGAAGGAUGACAGCGCUAUGCGUUGUAAACUUCUUUUGUACAGGAAGAAACCCUGCUACGUGUAGCAGUUUGACGGUACUGUACGAAUAAGCAUCGGCUAACUCCGUGCCAGCAGCCGCGGUAAUACGGAGGAUGCAAGCGUUAUCCGGAUUUAUUGGGUUUAAAGGGUACGUAGGCGGAAAAUUAAGUCAGUAGUGAAAUCCUGCAGCUUAACUGUAGAACUGUUAUUGAUACUGGUUUUCUUGAAUAUAGUUGAGGUAGGUGGAAUGUGUAAUGUAGCGGUGAAAUGCUUAGAUAUUACACAGAACACCGAUUGCGAAGGCAGCUUACUAAACUAUGAUUGACGCUGAGGUACGAAAGCGUGGGGAGCGAACAGGAUUAGAUACCCUGGUAGUCCACGCCGUAAACGAUGAUCACUCGUUGUUGGCAAUACACAGUCAGCGACUGAGCGAAAGCAUUAAAGUGAUCCACCUGGGGAGUACGCUCGCAAGAGUGAAACUCAAAAGGAAUUUGACGGGGGCCCGCACAAGCGGAGGAACAUGUGG
rnacentral:rRNA from 1 species